CAGUCGCUCUCCACAGCACACAGAGAGAGGAGGCAGCCUGAGAGAGGAGGACAGAGGAAACCUAUCUGCUCAUCUGUCUGUCCAGCGGCUUCCUCUGGGCAUCCGCAAGGUGCAUGCGGCUGGCCCUGCACAGGUAGGCAGCAAUGCUCCUCUGUUAAGAAGUCUGGGCUGAAGAGGAAGAAGGAAUAAAAGCAUCCAGCAGGGAUCAUUGUGCUGAAGGAUUAUCAAGUACAGAGGAUUGCGGCUGACUGCCUUCAUUCGUUACUUCCACGAGAUGACUGAGGAGAGACCUGCGUGCAUCUGCAAGAUUACCACCUGAGCAGCACCUGGGAACGUUCCCUCAUAAAUUUUAACAGAGGUUCCUGUUUACUUUGAACAAAGUGGUACCUGGCAUGUCCUGCAGCACAGUCCGGGCGAGCGGAGAGAAGACAGCGGAGCUGCAGACAGGCAGCGGGGCUGCACGCGCGGCGCGGCGCGGCGUGGCGCUGCGCCCGGACCAGAGGCGCGGCUGUCGGCUGGAGAGCGCGCGGACUACCGGAGCUAUGGAGCGCAGCUGUGCGCGGAUGGGAGCCGGCGCCGGGAGCGCUAAACCCAGACUGACCAACGCCGCCUGUUCGGAUGAAGAGAAAGUCGGAUAUAGAGGAGUUAGGGACGAGCAUCCUGUUUAG
rnacentral:lncRNA from 1 species